rnacentral:rRNA from 1 species
AACGAACGCUGGCGGCAGGCUUAACACAUGCAAGUCGAACGCCCCGCAAGGGGAGUGGCAGACGGGUGAGUAACGCGGGGGAACAUACCCUUUUCUACGGAAUAGCUCUGGGAAACUGGAAUUAAUACCGUAUACGCCCUACGGGGGAAAGAUUUAUAGGGGAAGGAUUGGCCCGCGUUGGAUUAGCUAGUUGGUGGGGUAAAGGCCUACCAAGGCGACGAUCCAUAGCUGGCCUGAGAGGAUGAUCAGCCACAUUGGGACUGAGACACGGCCCAAACUCCUACGGGAGGCAGCAGUGGGGAAUAUUGGACAAUGGGCGCAAGCCUGAUCCAGCCAUGCCGCGUGAGUGAUGAAGGCCUUAGGGUUGUAAAGCUCUUUCACCGAUGAAGAUAAUGACGGUAGUCGGAGAAGAAGCCCCGGCUAACUUCGUGCCAGCCGCCGCAGUAAUAC